rnacentral:tRNA from 1 species
GCACGCCGUGGGUAAGAGAUCGUCGGCGCGCCUGACCCUUGCCCUCCGAAGGCGAAGGCCACACGUUCGAAUCGUGUCGGGUGCGCCA